AGAGUUUGAUCCUGGCUCAGGAUGAACGCUAGCUACAGGCUUAACACAUGCAAGUCGAGGGGCAGCAUUUCAGUUUGCUUGCAAACUGGAGAUGGCGACCGGCGCACGGGUGAGUAACACGUAUCCAACCUGCCGAUAACUCGGGGAUAGCCUUUCGAAAGAAAGAUUAAUACCCGAUAGUAUAAUAAAACCGCAUGGUUUAAUUAUUAAAGAAUUUCGGUUAUCGAUGGGGAUGCGUUCCAUUAGGCAGUUGGUGAGGUAACGGCUCACCAAACCUUCGAUGGAUAGGGGUUCUGAGAGGAAGGUCCCCCACAUUGGAACUGAGACACGGUCCAAACUCCUACGGGAGGCAGCAGUGAGGAAUAUUGGUCAAUGGGCGAGAGCCUGAACCAGCCAAGUAGCGUGAAGGAUGACUGCCCUAUGGGUUGUAAACUUCUUUUAUACGGGAAUAAAGUUGGCCACGUGUGGUUUUUUGUAUGUACCGUAUGAAUAAGGAUCGGCUAACUCCGUGCCAGCAGCCGCGGUAAUACGGAGGAUCCGAGCGUUAUCCGGAUUUAUUGGGUUUAAAGGGAGCGUAGGCGGACGCUUAAGUCAGUUGUGAAAGUUUGCGGCUCAACCGUAAAAUUGCAGUUGAUACUGGGUGUCUUGAGUACAGUAGAGGCAGGCGGAAUUCGUGGUGUAGCGGUGAAAUGCUUAGAUAUCACGAAGAACUCCGAUUGCGAAGGCAGCCUGCUGGACUGUAACUGACGCUGAUGCUCGAAAGUGUGGGUAUCAAACAGGAUUAGAUACCCUGGUAGUCCACACAGUAAACGAUGAAUACUCGCUGUUUGCGAUAUACAGUAAGCGGCCAAGCGAAAGCGUUAAGUAUUCCACCUGGGGAGUACGCCGGCAACGGUGAAACUCAAAGGAAU
rnacentral:rRNA from 1 species